rnacentral:rRNA from 1 species
GUAGGUGAACCUGCGGAAGGAUCAUUACAAAUAAAUCCAAACCUACUCAACCAAGCCAAUUUGUUGCGAGGCGAAAGCCCUGCAGCUAACAACCUAACCAAAAGAAGCCUAACUAAGCUCUAAACCUAAACCAAAUCCUCAACGAUGGAUAUCUAGGUUCCUACUACGAUGAAGAACGCAGCGAAGUGCGAUAAGCAAUGCGAAUUGCAGAGCCGAGAGUCAUCAGAUUUUUGAACGUAACUGACACCGGAGGGUUCUCCCUUCGGUAUGCUUCUUUCAGUGUGUGAUUUUCUCAUCACCCAAACCUUAAUGCGAUAGAUGCCCUUCUAUUGCUAAGCUCGAAAGCACUCUGUACCCUGCAGCGAAAGUCUUCGGACUGACGCACUCAAUGCAGUAGUCACAUUCUCAAAUGUGAACUCAUUGAGCGUAGAGUCAGCGCAUGCUUGCAUGCCAGUGCUUAGACACUUAAAUUUUCUCAGCAUCUGAAAUGAAGUAGGACCACCCGCUGAACUUAAGCAUAUCAGUA